rnacentral:rRNA from 1 species
GGGAAAGGUAAAGAGCAGUCGAAGGGCACCGGGGAGGUAGUGUACUUCCGCCGGCGACCGGCGCACGGGUGAGUCCCUUAAAUGGAACCUGCCCGUACCAGGGGGGAUAAGCGGACCAUAUUCAGUCUAAUACCGCGUAGUAACUCCGAGAGGCAUCUCAUGGGGUUUAAAGGGUGACACCGGCUACGGAUGGCCAUGCGGCGCAUUAGCUAGUUGGCGGGGUACCGGCCCACCGAGGCGACGAUGCGUACGGGUUCUGAGAGGAAGGUCCCCCACACUGGUACUGAGACACGGACCACACUCCUACGGGAGGCAGCAGAGAGGAAUAUUGGUCGAUGGGCGCGAGCCUGAACCGGCCAAGUCGCGUGAGGGAAGACGGUCCUAUGGAUUGUAUACCUCUUUUGUCGGGGAGCAAAAGACGCCACGUGUGGCGUUCCGAGAGUACCCGAAGAAAAAGCAUCGGCUAACUCCGUGCCAGCAGCCGCGGUAAUACGGAGGAUGCGACCGUUAUCCGGAUUUAUUGGGUUUAAAGGGUGCGCACGCGGAAUAUCAAGUCAUCGGCAAAAUUGACAGGCUCAACCUCUUCGAGCCGUUGAAACUGGUUUUCUUGAGUGAGCGAGAAGUAUGCGGAAUGCGUGGUGUAGCGGUGAAAUGCAUAGAUAUCACGCAGAACUCCGAUUGCGAAGGCAAUAUACCGGCGCUCCACUGACGCUCAUGCACAAAAGUGUGGGUAUCGAACAAGAUUACAUA